CCUCCGUAGACCAGCCAGGACACGCAGUCGGCGUUCACCAUGGAAAACGCAAAAGGCGUGUCGUACUUGAGGUCCACUUCCCCUUCCUUAAUGGCCCUGACGGACGCGGGCCCACAGCAGUAGAGGCCUGAGGAGAAACGCGAGAAGCCCCAGAAUCCUGCCUGUGCUGUCGUAAUAUUCAUCUAUGACCAGAUUUCCGUCUGUGUCAUGGCCGGAGUCAAAGUUGGUGAUCACACGGGUGGGGAUCCCAAGGCACCGCAUCACUGCACAGAAAAGGCAGAAAAAUCGCCCCAGGGACUGUGGGCUUGGAACACUGCAGACUCCUGACCCUAAGGCACAUCUGCUGGACACCAGGCAGGAAUUGCCUGAGCGUGGGGUUGAUGACAUGUUCCACCUCCCUCCCAUGUCCUGAGUCCAUGGAGAAGACUAUGCAAAUGUUGGAAUGUUGGCUGCUCAGACAAGCAUUGCCAGACAGAGCUGACAAAAAGACGGGCAAGUCAUGGGGCCAUGGCAUGUCCAGGCCACACCAGCAGGGCAGGGUCCACCCGUCUCCUCCACUGGUGAGACUUCAGGGGCCUGACUCAAUCUCACUUCUCUCCUGACCGUGAAUCUCCAUCUUCAACCCAGACAGUUGGCAAUCUCUUCCUCCCUGUUCUUAGGAGCAUUGGCUGAGGCUAUUGGUUUCUCAGGCAGAAUGUUUAGACACUUGGAUUACCGCACACCUUCCCCUAGAUGUGUGAUCUUGGAAGCCUGUCAAGGAAAAUGUCACAAAUGGAGCCAGGCAUGGAAGGAAGCUGGGGUACAAAAACUUAGGGAAGUGAGAGUGUGCUCCAGGGAGGACAAGCCUGGAAGGGACAGAGGAGGUGUUGUCUUUACCCCUAAGGGGCAUCCAUUCCCUCUGCUGGCCAGCUUCCUCUCUUCAUCCUCUGCCAAAAUCGCUGUGCAGUGCCCUGUGAAGUACAGCCAUGUUGCUGCCAUCAGAUGCCCCGGGGAUCCCUGUGUCCUCAAGUCUAGCAGUGAUGACCCACACAGGUCAGGACUAAUCUUAACUACAAGGUGUACCAGCCAGCCAAAGUGUGAUGUGUUUUGCCUGCGUCAUCCUUAGGACUACAUCACCUGGUAGCUGCAAUUAUUAUCUCCACUGUGAAGAUAUCACAUCAGAAGCUAAAAAAAGUCACACAACUGGGCAUGUCUCAUCUCUGAGCAUUCACACAUGUACAAAUCUUGAAAGGGGAGAGGAAUUAACACCCCAGGAGCAAACUGUGACCAUUGAGACCAAGAUCUGCUAAGGAAAUCAUCCUCUUCCUGGCCUCAGGCUGAGUAAUUAAAAGGUAUGUUUCUCCUUGCUCCCAAGAGGAUCUUCCAAGUAGGACUGAGUUCCAUUUUCCCAUGGCAAUGACCAAUGUGAUAACACAUUUUUAUUUCCUACUGUGCUAACAUAUAGCAUGAAACCUAACAUUUUAACAACUUUCUGUAUUUGUCAGUGACAUCUAGGACAUGCAUAUUGUUUCCAACCACCACCGCUAGCAAGCUCCAGAUCAUUUUUGUCACCCCUUCCGCCUAAA